rnacentral:misc_RNA from 1 species
GAAAUGCGAUAAGUAGUGUGAAUUGCAGAAUUCAGUGAAUCAUCGAAUCUUUGAACGCACAUUGCGCCCCUCGGCAUUCCGUGGGGCAUGCCUGUUCGAGCGUCAUCUACACCCUCAAGCUCUGCUUGGUGUUGGGCGUCUGUCCCGCCUCCGCGCGCGGACUCGCCCCAAAUGCAUUGGCAGCGGUUCCUUGCCCCCCUCUUUGCGCAGCACAUUGCCAUUCGAGGCGGCGGCGGCCCGCGUCCAACAAGCUCAACCCCCCCGUCGUUGACCUCGGAUCAGGUAGGGAUACCCGCUGAACUUAAGC